AGUGAACGCUGGCGGUAGGCCUAACACAUGCAAGUCGAACGGCAGCACAGUAAGAGCUUGCUCUUACGGGUGGCGAGUGGCGGACGGGUGAGGAAUACAUCGGAAUCUACUUUUUCGUGGGGGAUAACGUAGGGAAACUUACGCUAAUACCGCAUACGACCUACGGGUGAAAGCAGGGGAUCUUCUGACCUUGCGCGAUUGAAUGAGCCGAUGUCGGAUUAGCUAGUUGGCGGGGUAAAGGCCCACCAAGGCGACGAUCCGUAGCUGGUCUGAGAGGAUGAUCGGCCACACUAGAACUGAGACACGGUCCAGACUCCUACGGGACGCAGCAGUGGGGAAUAUUGGACAAUGGGCGCAAGCCUGAUCCAGCCAUACCGCGUGGGUGAAGAAGGCCUUCGGGUUGUAAAGCCCUUUUGUUGGGAAAGAAAAGCAGCAGGUUAAUACCCCGCUGUUCUGACGGUACCCAAAGAAUAAGCACCGGCUAACUUCGUG
rnacentral:rRNA from 1 species